GAGUUUGAUCGUGGCUCAGAUUGAACGCUGGCGGCAUGCCUUACACAUGCAAGUCGAACGGCAGCACGGGAGCUUGCUCCUGGUGGCGAGUGGCGAACGGGUGAGUAAUGCAUCGGAACGUAUCCUGGAGUGGGGGAUAACGUAGCGAAAGUUACGCUAAUACCGCAUAUUCUGUGAGCAGGAAAGCGGGGGACCUUCGGGCCUCGCGCUCUUGGAGCGGCCGAUGUCGGAUUAGCUAGUUGGUGAGGUAAAGGCUCACCAAGGCGACGAUCCGUAGCAGGUCUGAGAGGAUGAUCUGCCACACUGGAACUGAGGCACGGUCCAGACUCCUACGGGAGGCAGCAGUGGGGAAUUUUGGACAAUGGGGGCAACCCUGAUCCAGCCAUGCCGCGUGAGUGAAGAAGGCCU
rnacentral:rRNA from 1 species